rnacentral:lncRNA from 1 species
CCAGCUUGACAAGACUUUUCCCUGCCAAGUGCUCUAUGAGUCAUUUGAUGUGGACAUCUUCAGAUCUGCAGAGCUGCUGGAGAAGACAGUAUUUCUUUCCCAUUUCCCAUAGGUGCAAAAUGGUUGUUCCACCUGGAAGGAAGAAAGAGGAUUAGGGGUCCCCAGCAAAGGGAUUUUAUGGACUCCUGAGAGACACGUGCUGCCUCUACAAUGCUCCCCCCAGUGCUCCUGCCUCUUGUGCUGCAGCAGCUAAGCUGGACUGCCUGACUGCUUGCUUUCCUGGGUGAAGAAGCAGGAGAGCAUCUUUGCAAGACAGAAUAAUCACCAUACCAGUAUGCAGGAUUGCUGGUUGCACUCAUGCAGCUCUGGGCGCUCCUCAAGAGAAGCUGAAGUUGCCGGGCUGUUUCAAGAGCACUUCUGUAUUUGCAUUAACAACAGCCCUUCCCCUGUGAAGAACAUUUGCAAUCCUUGAAAUGUUUGUUGUUCAGCUGGGCUAGCUAACAGCUGUAUUGAGCAAAGUGCCAUGUGACGACCAGUGCAUUCCUGAGCGAUUAUCAUAUACUGCCAACGACUGCUCCAUGUCUACGUUGCUGUAGUAUGCGAACGGUCCACAGCACAGCAAAGGAGAAAAAGAAACUUGCAAUCAGAGUGGAAUCACAGAAACAUUAAGGUUGGAAAAGACCACUAAGAUCAUCAUGUCCAACCACCAGCCCAUCCCUACCGUGCCC